AAAGAAACCCCACCCAUUGAAAGAUUUUCAAGGUUUUUUUUCAAUUUUUCCUUGAGGAAAAGAAACCAACUGGGAUUACCUUAGUAACGGCGAGUGAAGCGGUAAAAGCUCAAAUCAUGAAAUCCUGGUACUUAUCAGUGCCCGAGUUUGUAAUUCUGUAGAAUUCUGUCUUUUGAUUAGGUCCUUCGUCUAUGUUCCUUCGGAACAGGACGUCAUAGAGGGUGAGAAUCCCGUUUGGCGAGGAUACCUUUUCUCUGUAAGACUUUUUCGAAGAGUCGAGUUGUUUGGGAAUGCAGCUCAAAGUGGGUGGUAAAUUCCAUCUAAAGCUAAAUAUUGGCGAGAGACCGAUAGCGAACAAGUACAGUGAUGGAAAGAUGAAAAGAACUUUGAAAAGAGAGUGAAAAAGUACGUGAAAUUGUUGAAAGGGAAGGGCAUUUGAUCAGACAUGGUGUUUUUUGCAUGCACUCGCCUCUCGUGGGCUUGGGCCUCUCAAAAAUUUCACUGGGCCAACAUCAAUUCUGGCAGCAGGAUAAAUCAUUAAGAAUGUAGCUACUUCGGUAGUGUUAUAGCUUUUUGGAAUACUGUUAGCCGGGAUUGAGGACUGCGCUUCGGCAAGGAUGUUGGCAUAAUGGUUAAAUGCCGCCCGCUGA
rnacentral:rRNA from 1 species